GACGAACGCUGGCGGCGUGCUUAACACAUGCAAGUCGAACGGAAAGGCCCUGCUUGCAGGGUGCUCGAGUGGCGAACGGGUGAGUAACACGUGGGUGAUCUGCCCCUUACUUUGGGAUAAGCCUGGGAAACUGGGUCUAAUACUGGAUAGGACCAUGCUGUAGGUGGUGCGGUGGAAAGAUUAGUUUCGGUAAGGGAUGAGCUCGCGGCCUAUCAGCUUGUUGGUGGGGUAAUGGCCUACCAAGGCGUCGACGGGUAGCCGGCCUGAGAGGGUGGACGGCCACAUUGGGACUGAGAUACGGCCCAGACUCCUACGGGAGGCAGCAGUGGGGAAUAUUGCACAAUGGGCGCAAGCCUGAUGCAGCGACGCCGCGUGGGGGAUGACGGCCUUCGGGUUGUAAACUCCUUUCAGCCAUGACGAAGCCCUUGUGGUGACGGUAGUGGUAGAAGAAGCACCGGCUAACUACGUG
rnacentral:rRNA from 1 species